rnacentral:misc_RNA from 1 species
GAUGAAGAACGUAGCGAAAUGCGAUAAGUAAUGUGAAUUGCAGAAUUCAGUGAAUCAUCGAAUCUUUGAACGCACAUUGCGCCCGCCAGUAUUCUGGCGGGCAUGCCUGUCUGAGCGUCGUUUCGACCCUCGCGCCCGGCUUCUGUCGGGGGCGGUGUUGGGGAUCGGCCACACCCUUCAGUGGGAGGCCGGCCCCUAAAUUCAGUGGCGACCACGCUGUAGCCUCCCCUGCGUAGUACUAAAACCACCUCGCAGGCGGAGAGCGGUGCGGCCCGCCGUAAAACCCCCCAACUUUUACAAGGUCGACCUCAGAUCAGGUAGGAAUACCCGCUGAACUUAAGCAUAUCAAUAAGCGGAGGA